rnacentral:rRNA from 1 species
UACGGAGGGUGCGAGCGUUGUCCGGAAUCAUUGGGCGUAAAGGGCGCGUAGGUGGCCCGGUCAGUCUUUGGUGAAAACCUGUGGCUCAACUACAGGCUUGCGGUCGAUACGGGCAGGCUGGAGUUCGGUAGGGAGACUGGAAUUCCUGGUGUAGCGGUGAAAUGCGCAGAUAUCAGGAGGAACACCAGUGGCGAAGGCGGCUUCUGGACGGUAACUGACGCUGAGGCGCGAAAGCGUGGGGAGCGAACAGG